ACUUCACUUUCACCCACAUCUGUGCCCUACACCUUCUCCAGCUCCUCAUUCCUCACCUGCAGAAGCCAGCCCUGCCACAGCACUGUGAGGUUGUACGGGAUCUGGAGGCAGGCCGGGGGGAGGAGAGGCCAAAGAUGGGCUAUGGGGGUCCUGGGAUGGUGAUGGGGGUCCUGUCAGGGACCGUGGGGGUCAGUGAGCUCCCAGGGGGGAUUUUGGAGGUGUAAAGGAGGUCUGAGGGAGGAAAUAGGAGGAUUCCGGGGAAGCCCAUGGGGGGACAUGGGGUGCUGCUGGGGACUGUGGGGCUCCAUGUGGGUAUGGGCCAGCUACGGGGGAGGUGUACUGGGUCUGAGGGGGCCCUCGAGGGGCUCCAGGGCUCUGUGGGGGGCUAUAGGGUGUCUCUAGGGGUCUUGCUGGGAAACACUUGGAGGGACAUUGGGGCUCUGAGGGAAUGAUGGGUGGGCUGUCAUGAGAAAGGAAAGGGCAGCCUUGGGGAAAGCAAGGGGCAGCCAGGGGGAUGGAAGGGAAUCCUACAGGAACGCAAGGGGAAUCCAGGCUGAGGCAAGGGGACAGCUGGGGGAAGAACAGGGGAACGUCCCAGCAACGGACUUCUUCUUUCACAUCCACAUCUUCUGCUUCCCAACUGAGCUGCAAAGCUGCUAGAGGAGCUGCAGUACCGCUGCCCGAAUACUGCCUGUGUCAGAAAGAGCUGCACGUGAGCAGAGUGCAAUUGCCAUUCUAAAGCCAACUCCAUCACUGCAGUCACAAAACC
ensembl:lncRNA